UACGAAGGGGGCUAGCGUUGCUCGGAAUUACUGGGCGUAAAGCGCACGUAGGCGGUCUUUUAAGUCGGGGGUGAAAUCCUGGAGCUCAACUCCAGAACUGCCUUCGAUACUGGAAGACUUGAGUCCGGGAGAGGUGAGUGGAACUGCGAGUGUAGAGGUGAAAUUCGUAGAUAUUCGCAAGGACACCAGUGGCGAAGGCGGCUCACUGGCCCGGUACUGACGCUGAGGUGCGAAAGCGUGGGGGAGCAAACAGG
rnacentral:rRNA from 1 species